CCCUCGCCUCCUUCCUUGCUUCGAACUCCUCAACUCCCGACUCCCUUCUGUUCUCCACGCUUCCCUUCCCUUCCCUUCGCUUUUCCGCUGAAUUGCGCGCGGAAAAUUGAAGUGGAAGAAGUAAGGAGAAGUUUCCGCUUCUGCAACAGUUUAUCCAUUCAUUCUGCAAUUGUUGCUUUCCUUUUCUUGUUUCCCAAGUAAACAAAACAGAGCGCCGCAGCAGCAGCGGCGGCUGUCAUGCAGGGCGCCUCCCGGAGAAGAGCCUUGGCGAGUUCCGGCGUCGUCGCCGGCUCCGUCUGGGAGGCGAGGAUGCGAGUCGACGCCGUCAACGGCGGCGUUAAGGUCUUCAACGCCGGAGGCGGCGACGGCGACGGUGACGAAGAGGGAAUGCGGGUCUACCGGCGGCUUCGCCGGAACCAGAGCGACAGCAUCGCGUCCGCGAGGAAGAGGAGGAUCUGGACGCCGCCGCUGGUCGAGGGAAGAAGCCCGAUUCAGCUGCGCAAGGCGAGGGAGGCGACGUUGCUGGCGAUCGGAGAUGGGGGAGAGGGAGCGAUGGUGGAUGUCGGGAUCGAGGAUGAUGAUAGGUGGAAGAGCUUCGAUGAUAAGGAGAUGGAUCUGCCGGCGGAGAGGAGGAACACUGUGGUGGACGAAGAGGAGAAGACCAUUAAUCAAGUGCACGAGACCCCAGUGUCCUCGCCGGCGGUGGAUAAGUUCCAUGAUUGCCUCGCGCCAUCGCAAGAUGCGGAACAGAGGAAGGGAUUGAAUCAUCGGACAGCCGAUCCAGAUCCCGCUGAUCCACCUGUUCUCAAAUUUGGGAAAAAAUCGAAUCGCCCACUGAUUCUUCCAUCACCAGCUCCCGAAAAGAAGAUGAUGAAUCAAAGCGUAACUGAUCCAGAUCCUGCGGAUACAAAUCCUUAUGCAGGAAAGAAGUUGAAUCGCUUCACAAUCAAUCCAGAUCCUGUUGGUACACCUUCUUUUGAUGGGGCAAGUGAACUGUAUGAAACAUCCAAAAAGAACCACAACAGAUUGCAGAGCAUUGUGGAUUUGGUUAUGUGGAGAGAUGUACCCAGAACAGCAUUAGUUUUUGGUCUCGGCACCUUCAUUCUGGUUUCAUCUUCCUACGCGGAGGAUCUAAAUUUCAGGUUGAUUUCAGCUACUUCCUAUUCUGGCCUUAUUUAUCUUGCAUUAAUAUUUAUCUACAAGUCCAUCUUGCGCAGAGGAGAGUUGGAGUAUGAUGAAAGGGAUGAGAGAUACAUGGUGGGUGAGGAAGAGGCCAUCUGGAUUCUAAGGCUGCUUCUUCCUUACCUAAAUGAAGUACUGUUCAAGAUGAGGGUACUCUUCUCUGGAGAUCCUGCAGCUAUCAUGAAGAUGGCUGUGCUGUUGUUUGUUAUGGCAAAGUGUGGAGGCUCCAUCACCAUUUGGACCCUUUCAAAGCUGAUGUUCUUUGGAGUCUUUGCUGUUCCAAAAAUCUACACUUCUUACACCACUCAGCUGUUAAAAUUUGGUAAAUUCUGGCGGGAGAGGCUCAGGGAUGGAUGGGAAUCAUGCACCUACAAGAAGGCUGUGGCGGCCGCCAUCUUCACCAUAAUCUGGAGCAUCUCCUCCACUGCCGGUCGCACCUGGGCCGUGUUCAUGCUGGCGGUGGCCUUCAAGUUGUACCAACAACGUCUGUCCCACGACUGUAACAAUCAGGAAGCAGAGGUGAUGGCCGAAGAGGUAGCGAUGGCACAAGAGGAAGUUCCCAAAGCAGGCCACCACCGCUACAGUGGCCCCUAAAAGAAACUAGGUCAUGAGACAUAACAAACCAAAGAAAGGCAUCUUAUUCAUGAUGUAAAUCUUCCAUGUGAUUGGGGAAAGGUGACAGGGAAAGCAACACUGCAUUCAAAACGCUAUGACGGAGCCACCAGCUGCUAUGCACAACAAGAGCAGAAACAAUCACAGUGGCCUUUGAUUUCUUCCUUGUUUGUGGGUUUGUUCCACGGCUAUAGCUGGCGUGGGAGGCCCUGUCGCCGUGCGUGGUAUAACGCGUGGCGUCCUCUGCUGUGGCCACGCCGAUUUCUUUGACCAUUCCCUAUCGGCAAAGCUGCUCAUUAAACAAGGGAGUGAGUUGGCUUCUGCUGUUUUUGCUUCGCUGGGAGGGAGAAGACUCGAAGACGGGGGCAAAGGCAUGUGCAGAGUGACACGGGGGCGUGGCAGCUUGGCAGGGGCCUCAAUGAUUUUUUUUCCCUUUUUAUAUGGACUUGUGAUAUUUAUUUAAUUAUUAUUGUUUUUAUCAGAAUUGUUUAUUUAAUUUUUAUUAUUUUAUACUUUUUAAUAAAAUCAACCCUAUCAGAUUGGGCAUGA